GACAGAGGUCCCGAGCGUUAGGCGGAAUCACUGGGCUUAAAGCGUGUGUAGGCGGUUCUGUAAGUCCCGCGUGAAAUCCCCCGGCUCAACUGGGGAACUGCGCGGGAGACUGCGGGGCUUGAGUUCGGGAGAGGGAAGCGGAAUUCCGGGUGUAGCGGUGAAAUGCGUAGAUAUCGGAAGGAACACCAGUGGCGAAGGCGGCAUCCUGGACCAACACUGACGCUGAGGAGCGAAAGCCAGGGGAGCAAACGGG
rnacentral:rRNA from 1 species